UGAGCUGACUGUUCAGAAGAUUCAGACUGAAGAAAUCUCCUUUAUAAAGUUGAUAGAUGUCACAUUUGUUCCUAGGUUUAAUUUUCUGAUAUAAAGCUAAGACUGAUUGAACACAUGAUAUAAAAAAUAAGAUUUUUCCUGAAUAAAAAAAAUCCAACUUUACUUUCAUUAGUUUUUAUUGUUAAGUGGCUUCUUAAAAGGAUCUAGAUGUAAAAGGAGCAAGGUUCAAAGUACUUUUAGAGCUUGUUAAAAAAUACCCAAUGUCAUUCUAACAUUCUAACAUACUCUAAUCAGAGUCAGAGGACAGAGUCUGGUGUGGAUGAACUGGACUGGCCUGCACAGAGUCCUGAUGUCAUCUGCCCUCAGCUGCUUCCCUGCUCUUCAGUGGCCUGGAGAACUUCAAGCUGCUUAGAGAUGCGGAGCAGAUGUGGUCUGUGACGUCUGCACUGGAAAAUACGACACACCCUGAAGUCCUGUCUGACCAGCCUUUCUCCUUCCUGUGAGGAACACCUUCAGCCUCAUUUGAAAGCAGCUGCAUUGAAGAAACACAAGCUGGUGGGACCCUCCAAGAACCUGCAGGAGAACAUCUGCUAAAGUCAUGAUGAGCUGCUUCAACAGCAGGUGGAGGAGAGUCGGGAGGUCUUCACUGAGAUGAUCCGUCUCAUCCAGAAGAGAAGAGGUGAAGUGAAGAACAGGAUCAGAUUCCAACAGCUAACUGAAGUGAGGCGGGUCAAAGGUCUUCAGAAGGAGCUGGAGCAGGACAUGACUGAGCUGAUGAGGAGAUGCUGUGAGCGUCAACAGAGACGGGAUGGCAAAGCAGUCAUCUGUCACUGACACCUGUGUUCUUUGUGAUAUGAAUAAAUCAAGUCAACGUGG